UACGUAGGGAGCGAGCGUUGUCCGGAUUCAUUGGGCGUAAAGAGCUCGUAGGCGGCUUGAUAAGUCGGAUGUGAAACCUCCAGGCUCAACCUGGAGUCGCCAUCCGAUACUGUCAUGGCUAGAGUCCGGUAGGGGCCCACGGAAUUCCUGGUGUAGCGGUGAAAUGCGCAGAUAUCAGGAGGAACACCGGUGGCGAAGGCGGUGGGCUGGGCCGGCACUGACGCUGAGGCACGAAAGCCAGGGGAGCAAACGGG
rnacentral:rRNA from 1 species